rnacentral:pre_miRNA from 1 species
UUUUAUUUUGGAAUGAAGGUCAGACUUUGUUAAAAAAAAAUGAAGGUCAGACGUCCCAGGUUUUGAUUAAAAGCUUCCAAAAUUUUAAGUUCUACAAAGAAGACGACAUUUUGUUGAUCACAUUUGCAGGUAUUUCUGGACAUCAUAUGCUCUAUUUUCUAAUUUGUUAGGAAAAAAAGGUUUCAUCUUUAGACCUCUGG